GACGAACGCUGGCGGCGUGCCUAAUACAUGCAAGUCGAACGCAGUGGGGACGGGUGAGUAACACGUGGGUAACCUCCCAUCAGAGGGGAUAACACUUGGAAACAGGUGCUAAACCGAUCCUGAUGGAUGGACCCGCGGUGCAUUAGCUAGUUGUUGAGGUAACGGCCCACCAAGGCCACGCUGCAUAGCCGACCGAGGAGGGGAAUCGGCCAAACUGGAACUGAAACACGGCCCAGACUCCUACGGGAGGCAGCAGUAGGGAAUCUUCGGCAAUGGACGAAAGUCUGACCGAGCAACGCCGCGGGAGUGAAGAAGGUUUUCGGAUCGUAAAACGCUGUUGUUGGAGAAGCGGUAUCUAACCAGAAAGCCACGGCUAACUACGUGCCAGCAGCCGCGGUAAUAC
rnacentral:rRNA from 1 species